UACGUAGGGUCCGAGCGUUGUCCGGAAUUAUUGGGCGUAAAGGGCUCGUAGGCGGUUUGUCGCGUCGGGUGUGAAAACGCCGGGCUUAACCCGGUGCUUGCUUUCGAUACGGGCAGACUGGAGGUAUGCAGGGGAGAACGGAAUUCCUGGUGUAGCGGUGAAAUGCGCAGAUAUCAGGAGAAACACCGGUGGCGAAGGCGGUUCUCUGGGCAUGACCUGACGCUGAGGAGCGAAAGUGUGGGGAGCGAACAGG
rnacentral:rRNA from 1 species